AAGGUCUUAGCUUAAUUAAAGUAUUUGUUUUGCAUACAGAAGAUGUGGGGUAAUAUCCUGCAGAUCUUA
rnacentral:tRNA from 1 species